rnacentral:sRNA from 1 species
UGGAAACUGAUGCCCGAAUCGGAACAGCAAUCGCUCAACUGUAAACAUUCAAUAGAUCUACAGAAUAUGCACGCUUCGAAUUUGUUGUUCACUUAUUUCGACUUACACACAAAAUAAUGCUAUGUAUUCAUGUGUUUGCAUGUCUUGUAUUGUAUACAAAAGAUAGAUUUGUUUUUCUUUUAAAGCAUAUUCAAAGCAUUUCAAUAUAUAUUGUGGUUUUAACUGGAUGCAUUGGCUGAUUGUUUGCUCUGGCGCCUAAAUGCAUGCUAUAAACAAUUACAAAGAAAAUUAAACUCUACAAUUUUAGUUAUAUAUGUAUCAUAUAUGUAUGCUACUUAUGUACAUAUAGAGCUCUAAAUGUUUGUCAUAUCGAAGAGGUCUACAGCUAUCUAAUAUAUGCACGUUUCUGCUUGUUUGUGCCAUUUUGAAUAGGUUGAGGCGCCAAACGGGAUUUACAAAUAUUGGCUGGCUCAAAUUUAUGAAACUUACUUAUUUAGUAUAUGUAUAUGAUAAUUUGCUCGCUGUUUAGUUUAGCCAUACCAUGCGCUAAUUUUGUACAAAGAUUUCGUUUCAACGAAUUGUUGGUUUGUUUGCUUUCUUGCACAACUAAACUGUUAUCAACUUAGGGCUACGGCUAAGGCUUACCAACUAGGAGUUUUUUUGCUUUUAUUAAACUUAGACACACUUAGACACACACGCAUUCACCACACAA